UACAGAGGUCUCAAGCGUUGUUCGGAUUCAUUGGGCGUAAAGGGCUCGUAGGUGGCCAACUAAGUCAGACGUGAAAUCCCUCGGCUUAACCGGGGAACUGCGUCUGAUACUGGAUGGCUUGAGUGUGGGAGAGGGAUGCGGAAUUCCAGGUGUAGCGGUGAAAUGCGUAGAUAUCUGGAGGAACACCGGUGGCGAAGGCGGCAUCCUGGACCAUUACUGACACUGAAUAGCGAAAGCCAGGGGAGCAAACGGG
rnacentral:rRNA from 1 species